UACGGAGGGUGCGAGCGUUGUCCGGAAUCACUGGGCGUAAAGGGCGCGUAGGUGGCAUGGUUAGCGUGCGGUGAAAGCCCGGGGCUCAACUCCGGGUCGGCCGUGCGAACUGCCAUGCUGGAGCACGGUAGAGGCCAAUGGAAUUCCGGGUGUAGCGGUGGAAUGCGUAGAUAUCCGGAAGAACACCGGUGGCGAAGGCGGUUGGCUGGGCCGUUGCUGACACUGAUGCGCGACAGCGUGGGGAGCAAACAGG
rnacentral:rRNA from 1 species